rnacentral:rRNA from 1 species
UACGUAGGGGGCAAGCGUUGUCCGGAUUUAUUGGGCGUAAAGCGCGUGUAGGCGGCUGGGUAGGUCCGCUGUGAAAACUCGAGGCUCAACCUCGAGAGGUCGGUGGAAACCAUCCAGCUAGAGUCCGGAAGAGGAGAAUGGAAUUCCUGGUGUAGCGGUGAAAUGCGCAGAUAUCAGGAAGAACACCCGUGGCGAAGGCGGCUCUCUGGGACGGUACUGACGCUGAGACGCGAAAGCGUGGGGAGCGAACAGG